rnacentral:rRNA from 1 species
AGAAUCAACGCUGGCGGCGUGCCUAACACAUGCAAGUCGCACGAGAAAGGGGAGCAAUCCCUGAGUACAGUGGCGCACGGGUGAGUAACACGUGAAUAAUCUACCUCCGAGUGGGGAAUAACUGAGAGAAAUCUUAGCUAAUACCGCAUAACACUUACGAGUCAAAGCAGCAAUGCGCUUGGGGAGGAGGUCGCGGCCGAUUAGCUAGUUGGCGGGGUAAUGGCCCACCAAGGCGAUGAUCGGUA